GACGAACGCUGGCGGCGUGCUUAACACAUGCAAGUCGAACGGUGAACGAGGGAGCUUGCUCCCUCCGGAUCAGUGGCGAACGGGUGAGUAACACGUGAGCAAUCUGCCCCGAACUCUGGGAUAAGCGUUGGAAACGACGUCUAAUACCGGAUACGACGCGGGAGGGCAUCCUCUCCGCGUGGAAAGAACUUCGGUUCGGGAUGAGCUCGCGGCCUAUCAGCUUGUUGGUGGGGUAACGGCUCACCAAGGCGACGACGGGUAGCCGGCCUGAGAGGGUGACCGGCCACACUGGGACUGAGACACGGCCCAGACUCCUACGGGAGGCAGCAGUGGGGAAUAUUGCACAAUGGGCGCAAGCCGGAUGCAGCAACGCCGCGUGAGGGACGACGGCCUUCGGGUUGUAAACCUCUUUUAGCAGGGAAGAAGCGAAAGUGACGGUACCUGCAGAAAAAGCACCGGCUAACUACGUG
rnacentral:rRNA from 1 species